UACGGAGGGGACUAGCGUUGUUCGGAAUUACUGGGCGUAAAGCGCGCGUAGGCGGAUUUGCAAGUCGGGGGUGAAAGCCCGAGGCUCAACCUCGGAACUGCCCUCGAUACUGCAAAUCUCGAGUCCGAGAGAGGUGAGUGGAAUUCCUAGUGUAGAGGUGAAAUUCGUAGAUAUUAGGAAGAACACCAGUGGCGAAGGCGGCUCACUGGCUCGGUACUGACGCUGAGGCGCGAAAGCGUGGGGAGCGAACAGG
rnacentral:rRNA from 1 species